CGGGUGAGUAAUGUAUGGGGAUCUGCCUGAUGGGGGGGGAUAACUACUGGAAACGGUAGCUAAUACCGCAUAAUGUCUGCGGACCAAAGCGGGGGACCUCCGGGCCUCGCGCCAUCAGAUGAACCCAUAUGGGAUUAGCUAGUAGGUAAGGUAACGGCUUACCUAGGCGACGAUCCCUAGCUGGUCUGAGAGGAUGAUCAGCCACACUGGGACUGAGACACGGCCCAG
rnacentral:rRNA from 1 species